rnacentral:lncRNA from 1 species
GUUGGCCUCACUGAAAUAAAUUUCUUUCUGGUUUGGCCACCACCCAUUUCUCUGCCUUUGGAUUUUGUCAUCGGCGAAUGGCCUAACCUGAUCUGGGACCCCGGCAGCCAGGUUACCCUUGCACCCUGUGCCCUAGCUACACUUCAAGUUCAUACAAUCAUCUAAAUCUGUACUUCCAGACCCAUACUUCAGAAAACCCACUUUCUGAUUUUUUUCAAGGAGAGAGGGAUGAUGAGAAGGUUGGGACGCAGCUACAAAUCUCCUUAACCAGGAGAUUCUUGAGAGUUCAGCGAGAGUGGUUACAGCCCACUCCCAUAAGAUAUGACACAACUUUCAAAAUCCUGAAGUCCCCACACCUGCACAGCUGGGACAAGAUUGGGAUCUUCCCAUUAUCGAGGAUGACGGCAGAAUUAUUCUGAAUUGUUGAAUCCAGAUGGUCUCCAAGCGUCCAAUCCC